rnacentral:lncRNA from 1 species
GGCCUAAGUAACCUAAAGUAGGCAUCGAUACAGAUGGGAGAGUCAAACAGUUUCAAAGGCACAAAUUGCACACUUGCAGCAGAGAUUCUCGAAGGCUGUGGUAUCUUCAGAUGAAGAGUAUGAAGGUGCAUAUGGGCGGCGGUGGUCGAGGCCACUGAUUGGAAAGUUUCUUGGUACUGGUUUUGUUGGAAAUUGUGUCCUAAAACCUAUCGUGUGA